AAGUCGUAACAAGGUUUCCGUAGGUGAACCUGCGGAAGGAUCAUUAACAGUUUAUGUUUGUGUCUGUUGUUGUGAUGUGUGUGAUCUGUGACAAUUGUCAUUUGGUUGGCAAUGUUAUUUUUUUUAACCAUGUUUUUUAUCACCUGUCUUAUACCAUACCAUAUACAAUUAUCGAAAACUGCCAGCAAUGGAUCACUCGGUUCUU
rnacentral:misc_RNA from 1 species